AGAGUUUGAUCAUGGCUCAGGAUGAACGCUAGCUACAGGCUUAACACAUGCAAGUCGAGGGGAAACGACAUCGAAAGCUUGCUUUUGAUGGGCGUCGACCGGCGCACGGGUGAGUAACGCGUAUCCAACCUGCCCACCACUUGGGGAUAACCUUGCGAAAGUAGGACUAAUACCCAAUGACGUCUCUAGAAGACAUCUGAAAGAGAUUAAAGAUUUAUCGGUGAUGGAUGGGGAUGCGUCUGAUUAGCUUGUUGGCGGGGUAACGGCCACCAAGGCUACGAUCAGUAGGGGUUCUGGAGAGGAAGGUCCCCCACAUUGGAACUGAGACACGGUCCAAACUCCAACGGGAGCA
rnacentral:rRNA from 1 species